CCUCAACCACAGUAGCUCCUGUUCCUGGACAACAGGAACAAUAGCAAUUGUUCCUGGACAACAGCCCUCCGGCCUAGCCGUGAUCCCGCUCAUUUGGAAGUGACCACCAGCCUGCUGGUAGCCAUCCAGGAACAACCCCGACUCGUCUUCCAUCACCACAGCCGAGAGAGCCCCCGGACCACUGCCUCAGGAUGCCCAACGGAGCCCGGGACCGUCGCUGACCAUCGCCAACCCUCCCCCAUUAGAAAUGCCCGGCUCCUACCUCCCCUCUGAACAAAACACCUAUUUAGGACAAAAGCUUCCUGGGCCCAGUCGUGAACAGAUGCCUGUCGCCAACCGGAAACAACCCCGACUCAUCAUACAUCAGCACCCCUACCGAGACAGACCCGGCCCACUGUGUCAGGAUGCCUACCGGAGUCUGGGACCAUUGCUGAACAUCGCUGGUAGUGAGGCUUUGUGCUUAAAACCUGGUUGAUUCUUUUCAGGAAGAUUGACUGCUUGCCCAAGUCCCCUGUGUCUUCAGGGAACACCUCAGGCCGGGAAGCCCAGAGCUGCCAAUUCCCACUUCCAGCCCCUGCCUCUGAGCCAGGUGCUCAACCAGGAGAAUCCCUUUUGCCCGCCAGGUACUGCCAUGUUGGCAGUAACAACCAGGAGGGGAGGUGGGGAAAGAGAAAUUGAGUGCAGUUCUAAAUAUGAGGGGUAGAGGUUUCUAAGGGUUUUAUUUGUAUCUUUGUUUCGUUUGUCUGAAAAAUUGGGAAGGAAUUGAACCUGCUGGGAGAAGAAAAGGAAAGGGGUGGGGGAGGGCUUUUUUUCCGGGAAUUGGCUCUGCUCUGUGGUGUCACUUUCAUACCUGAGGAAAUAUCCUGAGGAGAUUCCAGGUGGACAGAGCCAGGCCAAAGGAGGAGGAAGAGGAGGGAGAGCUACUUCGGAUUCAGCAGACCGGGACACUCGCCAAGAACAUGAGGAGCAGAAAGAAUGCCUGGCACAAAAAAAAAAUAAGUACCCCAAAAUGGAUCUCUAAUAUCAGAAACAAAAUUUGGUUUGUUCAUUUCCCAAACACACCUUUAAAAAAGUUGCCUGCCACCAUUUUUUUUCAUUACAAAAUAUUUCCCUUGAGCUUUCAAGGGAGAAACUUUUAAGACUGCCCUCUCAGAACUUUUUCCCAAUCUGUUUUCAGUGGAAGAAACUUAGUAUUUCAGUCAGGGAGAUAUAGGUGGUGCCGUAGACUUGAGUUAAUCAUGCCAAAUGAAGGAGAUAAAGGGAGGUUAGAGUAGGAAAUUUAAAAGGCAGGUGAAGAGGAAUUUGAUUGCAAAUUUCUUGAAGAAAUUUACUUUAAAAUCUCCACACCAAAUUCUUUCCUAAACGUCAUUGUGAAAGGUACGGUUUUCUCCACUGACUGUUGGCACUGGGUAAUGUUUUGAGGAAAAUGAUGAACGUAAAGAGGCACAAGCAAAAUGUCUUGGACUCCAAGCUUUCUGAUGCAG